rnacentral:misc_RNA from 1 species
CAUUGAUACAAUACAUAUUUCCUACACCAACAUCUUCUAUAUGACUAGAUACUCCAAUUAAAGAAUCAACCUUCAUGCUUAGCUUAUCCAUUUUUCUUGUCAAAGCAUCAAAUUUGGUAUUGAACAUACUCAUGGCAUCUAAAUCAUAUACACUAGCUGAUGGCUUCUUUAUUUCAUUCCUUUCAUAGCUCCAUUGAUAAUUGUUGUAAG